rnacentral:rRNA from 1 species
AACGAACGCUGGCGGCAUGCCUAACACAUGCAAGUCGAACGAGACCUUCGGGUCUAGUGGCGCACGGGUGCGUAACGCGUGGGAAUCUGCCCUCUGGUUCGGAACAACAGUUGGAAACGACUGCUAAUACCGGAUAAUGACUUCGGUCCAAAGAUUUAUCGCCUGAGGAUGAGCCCGCGUCGGAUUAGCUUGUUGGUGAGGUAAAAGCUCACCAAGGCGACGAUCCGUAGCUGGUCUGAUAGGAUGAUCAGCCACACUGGGACUGAGACACGGCCCAGACUCCUACGGGAGGCAGCAGUGGGGAAUAUUGGACAAUGGGCGAAAGCCUGAUCCAGCAAUGCCGCGUGAGUGAUGAAGGCCUUAGGGUUGUAAAGCUCUUUUACCCGGGAUGAUAAUGACAGUAACGGGAGAAUAAGCCCCGGCUAACUCCGUGCCAGCCGCCGCGGUAAAAC